GCUGAAGUAGCUCAGCUGGGAGCUCAGCUGGGAGAGCGUUAGACUGAAGAUCUAAAGGUCCCUGGUUCAAUCCCGGGCUUCAGCA